AUUUUCUCCAGCUUUGAGUGUUUGGGCAAAACAUAAACCCCCAAGUUCACCUGCAGGGUUUUGCCUUUGUUUUAGCUGAAGAUUUUGGCUGUAUACAUGUUUUUCCUCAAGUUCUUCUUAAGGGUUUUGGUUUGCUGCAGGUGGUUGUGCAGACCAGCCCAAAUUCUUUCUGCUGGGAGCACUUCAUGCAGGCUUUGUGCUGGGUGCAGAACUCUCUGGAUCCAUGGGAUCCAUGGGAUGAGGUCAAUGGUGUGAGGAAAAAUGGGAAUGGUCCUGCCUGGAGGGGCUGGACACCAACCAGGUGUGCCCAGGUGGCACAGGACCAGGGCAGUGCCCAUCCCCUGUGCUGGGCACUGCUGAGGAGCCUCAAAUCCUGGGGUCAAUUUUGGGUUUUCUCAUGACAAGAAAGACCUGGAGGGGCUGGGAAGGGCUGGAGAAUUCCUGAGGGAGC